GCCAAAGUGGCAUAGUAGUUGGAGCACUGGACUGCAACUUUAGAAACCAGGGUUCAAAUCUCCGCUUGGCU